GCAGUAAGGAAUAUUGGUCAAUGGGCGCAAGCCUGAACCAGCCAUGCCGCGUGCAGGAAGACUGCCCUAUGGGUUGUAAACUGCUUUUAUCCGGGAAUAAACCCCAUUACGUGUAAUGGGCUGAACGUACCGGAAGAAUAAGGAUCGGCUAACUCCGUGCCAGCAGCCGCGGUAAUACGGAGGAUCCAAGCGUUAUCCGGAUUUAUUGGGUUUAAAGGGUGCGUAGGCGGCCUGUUAAGUCAGAGGUGAAAGACGGUAGCUCAACUAUCGCAGUGCCUUUGAUACUGACGGGCUUGAAUAAACUAGAGGUAGGCGGAAUGAGACAAGUAGCGGUGAAAUGCAUAGAUAUGUCUCAGAACACCGAUUGCGAAGGCAGCUUACUAUGGUUUUAUUGACGCUGAGGCACGAAAGCGUGGGGAUCAAACAGGAUUAGA
rnacentral:rRNA from 1 species